GAUACUGUCUGGCUCGAGGCCGGGAGAGGUGAGAGGUACUUCAGGGGUAGGGGUGAAAUCUUGUAAUCCUUGAAGGACCACCAGUGGCGAAGGCGUCUCACCAGAACGGACCUGACGGCAAGGGACGAAAGCUAGGGGCACGAACCGGAUUAGAUACCCGGGUAGUCCUAGCCGUAAACGAUACUCGCUAGGUGUCGGCCACGGUGCGACCGUUGUCGGUGCCGUAGGGAAGCCGUGAAGCGAGCCACCUGGGAAGUACGGCCGCAAGGCUGAAACUUAAAGGAAUUGGCGGGGGAGCAC
rnacentral:rRNA from 1 species